CAUCAAAAACCAAGUCUCUAAGCAAUGGAUGUCUUGGCUCCUCACACGAUGAAGAACGUGGCAUAAUGUGUUAAGUAACCGGAGUUGCAAACAUCAUGACAGGUUAAUCUUUGAAUGCAAAUUGCGCUAAACUCGAUCUCGGUCGAGAAGCAUGGGUGUGACAGUACUACAUCUUUUAUAAUAAUUCUUAUUCUAAGCGAAUAAGUAAAUAAUAUAUAAGACAAACAACACGUAGUCUGCCAUACGCAGGAAGACCCGCUGAACUGAAGCAUCUCAUUAAGCGGAGGAAAAGAAACUAACUAGGAUUCCCUUAGUAAAGGCGAUCGAAAAGGGAACAGCCCAACGUCUUAAUCCCGCAAGGGAAAAGUAGUCUGUUCACCUAUUGCACUGGUCUAAGUCAAAUG
rfam:Trichomonas vaginalis G3, whole genome shotgun sequence.